rnacentral:lncRNA from 1 species
GAGGCACGUAGGGCCAGGACCAAGCCCUCACAGAGCCCACAGGUGAGGCACCUAGGGCAGGCCUGCUUCGUCAGUCCUCCCCAGCUCUCCUAUCCAGGUGGCUACUCCUCCAGACCCCACCUGCCCCAACAGCUGGAGGGCGAAGCUGCUGCAGGCAUGGGAGGCAGAGGAAUGGUGGAGGAGCUGGGGUGCUGGGCGUGCAGUAGUGCUUGACUGGAAACCGGACGAAGCUGCAGAUGGGAGAGGCACUGCUUGAACACUCCUGCCGCAUCCAUCACUCCGGGCACCUCCUGCAGUGCACACGGUCUCACUUUGAUUUUAAUCCCACCAAUAGCAGGAAGGAGGUAUGAGCCUCAUCUGCAGCUCAGGAUGAUUAGGGGACAAGUCUGGGGUCAUGUGCUGGUAAGGGAAAGAAUGUGGACUCAAUCUCACGUGGCCUGGCUCCAAAACCCGUCCAUUUGCUAAUUUAGUUUAAACCACCGGUUUUUUAACUUAAAAAUUUUGUUUCUGAACGUUGAAAAUGAAUAUAAAAUUCAAUGUGCUUCUCUGUACUCUCUUAGCAACUUCCUG